rnacentral:rRNA from 1 species
CGGGGGGAGCAAGCGUUGUUCGGAUUUACUGGGCGUAAAGGGCGCGUAGGCGGUCAGCACAAGUCAGUUGUGAAAUCUCCGGGCUUAACUCGGAACGGUCAACUGAUACUGUGCGACUAGAGUGCAGAAGGGGCAACUGGAAUUCUCGGUGUAGCGGUGAAAUGCGUAGAUAUCGAGAGGAACACCUGCGGCGAAGGCGGGUUGCUGGGCUGACACUGACGCUGAGGCGCGAAAGCCAGGGGAGCGAACGGGAUUAGAUACCCCGGUAGUCCUGGCCUUAAACGAUGGAUGCUUGGUGUCUGGAGUUAUAUAGUCUCCGGGUGCCGCAGCUAACGCGUUAAGCAUCCCGCCUGGGGAGUACGGUCGCAAGACUG